UACAGUGGUGGCAAGCGUUGUUCGGAAUUACUGGGCGUAAAGGGCGCGUAGGCGGUCUUGCAAGUCCCGUGUGAAAUCCCUCGGCUCAACUGAGGAAUGGCACGGGAAACUGCUUGGCUUGAGUUCGGGAGAGGGAAGCGGAAUUCCGGGUGUAGCGGUGAAAUGCGUAGAUAUCCGGAGGAACACCGGUGGCGAAGGCGGCUUCCUGGACCGACACUGACGCUGAGGCGCGAAAGCUAGGGGAGCAAACGGG
rnacentral:rRNA from 1 species